GUUAUAGCCUGGCUGGUACACAGCAGUGUUAUGGUGUUAUAGCCUGGUUAGUACACAGCAGCAGCAUUGUGGUUGUUAUGGUGUUAUAGCCUGGCUAGUACACAGCAGUGUUGUGGUGUUAUAGCCUGGCUAGUACACAGCGCAGUGUUGUGGUGUUAUAGCCUGGCUAGUACACAGCAGUGUUGUGGUGUUAUAGCCUGGCUAGUACACAGCAGUGUUGUGGUGUUAUAGCCUGGCUAGUACACAGCAGUGUUGUGGUGUUAUAGCCUGGCUAGUACACAGCAGUGUUGUGGUGUUAUGGCCUGGCUAGUACACAGCAGUGUUGUGGUUUUAUAGCCUGGCUAGUACACAGCUGCUGUAUUGUGGUGGUAUAGCCUGGCAAGUACACAGAGCAGUAUUAUGCUGUUGUAGUCUUGCCAGUACUGUGCUGUUGUUAAGACAACUGUUAUGGCAUUUUAUACCGUCGUAUGGCAGUAUAUAUUGGUGGUUGGGAUGCAUAAAGUGCAUGUUUUGAUCACUCAUUGAAGUUGUUCAGUAUUUUAUAUACCUAAAGAGAUUAUACUUAUCAUUUGUAUAUAGUUGGCAAGUUGAGGAUGUUGAAGGAAGUCUAUUACUUGUGCAGGUUUCACAACGUUGAUCCACCCAGAACACACCGUCCACUCUCUUUAUACACCAAGUCAGUUGUCACGUCCCAAACAGCUGAUAGCAACAUGCCUCCUAUGAUAAUAAGCAUACACAAAGAUUCUUGAGGUCAAGACCGAAACUGGUAUCAAAGUAUUGGUAGCUUAAAGAUAAUGGGGUUGACUGUAUGUUUGUAUAAGAGCUUUGGAUUGUGUGAAGCCCUGUUGUUACACUGAGUGUUGAAAAUUGUAUAUAUAGUAAGGAUGAUCUCAGUCUCUGAGCAGUGUUGCCAUUGAUGCUUGCAAGUCUAUACAAAUGAAUCAAAAUGAACACAUUUACCCAGAAGACACCUCUAUUGGAGAUUGCAUAAAGUGAAUACCUUUCCCAGAUGUACAUAGUGUAGGCUGUGAGUGGACAUUGUUGAAUUUUUAAUAUUUUAUGUAUGCUGUUAUUUUUUAGUUCAGUGGCACCUUACCCGUGAAGAUCCGGGUUAGAAUAUUCAUCUUCAGUAACACAUGCUUGUCGUUAGAGGCGUCUAACGGGAUCUGGU
rnacentral:lncRNA from 1 species